CUACGGGGGGCAGCAGUAGGGAAUAUUGGGCAAUGGGCGCAAGCCUGACCCAGCAACGCCGCGUGCGCGAAGAAGGCCUUCGGGUCGUAAAGCGCUUUUCUGAGGGAUGAGAAAGGACAGUACCUCAGGAAUAAGCCUCGGCUAACUACGUGCCAGCAGCCGCGGUAAAACGUAGGAGGCGAGCGUUAUCCGGAUUUACUGGGCGUAAAGCGUGUGCAGGCGGUCUGGCAAGUUGGAUGUGAAAGCUCCCGGCUCAACUGGGAGAGGUCGUUCAAAACUACCGGACUAGAGUGUAUCAGAGGGAGAUGGAAUUCCCGGUGUAGUGGUGAAAUGCGUAGAUAUCGGGAGGAACACCAGUGGCGAAAGCGAUCUUCUGGGAUACUACUGACGCUCAGACACGAAAGCUAAGGUAGCGAACGGGAUUAGAUACCCCCGUAGUC
rnacentral:rRNA from 1 species